GUGUUUGCCUCAGCAGCACAUGUACUGUAAAAACUAUAAUGAUAUAGAGAAGAUUAGCACAACCCCUAUGCAAGAUGACACACAAAUUCAUGAAGUAGUCCAUAUUUUU